CUGGCUCAGAACGAACGCUGGCGGCGCGUCUUAAGCAUGCAAGUCGAACGGCAAGAGGUAGCAAUACCUCCUAGAGUGGCGGACUGGUGAGUAACACGUGGGUGACAUACCCUUCAGAUGGGGAUAGCUAUUAGAAAUAGUAGAUAAUACCGAAUACGAGCACAGGGGUUAGAGAUCUGUGAGGAAAGGAGCUAAGGCUCCGCUGAAGGAAUGGCCUGCGGCCCAUUAGCUAGUUGGUGAGGUAAGAGCCCACCAAGGCGAUGAUGGGUAUCCGGCCUUAGAGGGUGAACGGACACAUUGGGACUGAGAUACGGCCCAGACUCCUACGGGAGGCAGCAGCUAAGAAUAUUCCGCAAUGGACGAAAGUCUGACGGAGCGACGCCGCGUGGAUGAAGAAGGCCGGAAGGUUGUAAAAUCCUUUUGAAACUGAAGAAUAAGCGUUGUAGGGAAUGACAGCGUGGUGACAGUAGGUUUUGAAUAAGCAACGGCUAAUUACGUGCCAGCCGCUGC
rnacentral:rRNA from 1 species